CGUAGGGUGCAGGCGUUAAUCGGAAUUACUGGGCGUAAAGCGUGCGCAGGUCGGUUUCUUAAGUCAGAUGUGAAAGCCCCGGGCUUAACCUGGGAACUGCGUUUGAAACUGGGAGACUUGAGUGUGGCAGAGGGGGGUGGAAUUCCACGUGUAGCAGUGAAAUGCGUAGAUAUGUGGAGGAACACCGAUGGCGAAGGCAGCCCCCUGGGUUAACACUGACGCUCAUGCACGAAAGCGUGGGGAGCAAACAGGAUUAGAUACCCUGGUAGUCCACGCCCUAAACUAUGUCAACUGGUUGUCGGGGGAUUAACUCCCUUGGUAACGAAGCUAACGCGUGAAGUUGACCGCCUGGGGAGUACGGUCGCAAGAUUA
rnacentral:rRNA from 1 species